rnacentral:rRNA from 1 species
ACCUUACUCCAUGUAGUGGAUCACUCGGUU